rfam:Myotis davidii contig64650, whole genome shotgun sequence.
GGCAGUUCUUGGGUGACGCACCUUGGAAUUGGGCUCCCUCCUCUCUGAUUCUGGAUGUGUUACCCGAGAACUGCA